rnacentral:rRNA from 1 species
AGCAGCCGCGGUAAUUCCAGCUCCAAUAGCGUAUAUUAAAGUUGUUGCAGUUAAAAAGCUCGUAGUUGAAUUUCGAGAUCAAUUUGUUGGUCGUGCCUCGGUACGUACUGGCAAUUUUGAUUUCUCCCUUCUGAAGAACCAUGAUGUCAUUAAUUUGGUGUCAUGGGGAAUCAGGACCGUUACUUUGAAAAAUUAGAGUGUUUAAAGCAGGCUCGCGCUUGAAUACAUUAGCAUGGAAUAAUGAAAUAGGACGUUUGAUUCUAUUUUGUUGGUUUCUAGGAUCGACGUAAUGAUUAAUAGGGAUAGUUGGGGGCAUUAGUAUUCAAUUGUCAGAGGUGAAAUUCUUGGAUUUAUUGAAGACUAACUACUGCGAAAGCAUUUGCCAAGGAUGUUUUCAUUAAUCAAGAACGAAAGUUAGGGGAUCGAAGACGAUCAGAUACCGUCGUAGUCUUAACCAUAAACUAUGCCGACUAG